GGGGGUACCGUCAACCCACCUAGCUAUUCACUAGAUGGGAGUUCUUCCCCCUGGCAGUGGUUUACACCCCGAAAGGCUUCCUCCCACACGCGGCGUCGCUGCGUCAGUCUUUCGACCAUUGCGCAAAAUUCCC
rnacentral:rRNA from 1 species